AAUCAACGCUGGCGGCGUGCCUCAGACAUGCAAGUCGAACGAUUAAGACUCCCUUCGGGGAGUGCAUAAAGUGGCGCACGGGUGAGUAACACGUAAGUAAUCUACCCUCGGGUGGGGAAUAACGUCCGGAAACGGACGCUAAUACCGCAUAAUGCAGCGGCACCGCAAGGUGACAGUUGUUAAAGAUUUAUUGCCUGGGGAGGAGCUUGCGGCAGAUUAGCUUGUUGGUAAGGUAACGGCUUACCAAGGCUACGAUCUGUAUCCGGUCUAAGAGGACGGUCGGACACACUGACACUGAAUAACGGGUCAGACUCCUACGGGAGGCAGCAGUCGGGAAUUUUGGGCAAUGGGGGAAACCCUGACCCAGCAACGCCGCGUGAAGGAUGAAGUAUUUCGGUAUGUAAACUUCGAAAGAAUAGGAAGAAUUAAUGACGGUACUAUUUAUAAGGUCCGGCUAACUACGUGCCAGCAGCCGCCGCUGU
rnacentral:rRNA from 1 species